AGAGUUUGAUCCUGGCUCAGGAUGAACGCUGGCGGCGUGCUUAACACAUGCAAGUCGAACGGACCCAUUCUUCGGAAAGGGUUAGUGGCAGACGGGUGCGUAACACGUAGGUGACCUGCCCUGAAGUGGGGAAUAAUUCCGCCAACGCGGAACUAAUACCGCAUAUGCUCGGUGAUUCAGUUUGCCGAGUAAAGCCGAAAGGCGCUUCGGGAUGGGCCUGCGGCGGAUUAGGUAGUUGGUGGGGUAAUGGCCUACCAAGCCGAUGAUCCGUAGGGGGCGUGAGAGCGUGNCCCCCCACACUGGCACUGAGACACGGGCCAGACUCCUACGGGAGGCAGCAGUGAGGAAUAUUGCACAAUGGGCGAAAGCCUGAUGCAGCAACGCCGCGUGAGGGACGAAGGCCCUCGGGUCGUAAACCUCUUUUCUGAGGGACGAGCAAGGACGGACCUCAGGA
rnacentral:rRNA from 1 species